ACUAUAGUAAAAUUGGCAUUGGAGGAGAGACUGUGGGUCACAAGUUACUUUGGGCUAUGUCAUUAAGAGAACAUCUUCCACCCAUUUCACUUCUACCAGGCAAAGGAGGGAUGGGAGGAGGCAGGAGAAUGGGAAGAGGAAAUCACAAUUGGUUUGGGAAGGUAAACCAGGUGCAAAAUAGAAACAGUAUUUCUAUUGCUUUACAUGAUAGUUAACACAUUUUCUGAAUCUGACAUGAUUUUUACUUGUUUUACUUCUAGGUGGGCUGAGCAACUGUCUCACAGCAAGAGAUCUGGCUUGUAAUCCAGUCUGAGAGAAAUUUGUGUCCUCUGUGGAGCAGGCAGCUGAUGCCAAAACAUGCAGGGGCCUUUUGUCAGAUCACAUCACCCUAGAGGAAGCCUAAUUUCCCCUGACCUCAUUCCAACUGUGCCUGAACAUCUGGGCUCCAAGGAAGAUGUCCCCAGUACACCAACUGACUGAAGUCUUGGUCUAAGUUCUAUAUGUACCUUAAGAUUUGAAGAUUCUGAAACAUGAUUACAGAUGGAUAUGAACAUUCUGACUCUGACUCUGGUGUUGAAAGCCUUGGAAAAAGGGUGUGGGGGAAGCCACAGAAAUUUUAAUUAGCAUUAUAGGCAGAUGUCAUGUAACAGUGGAGGAAAGACUGGUUGUAGUAGGGCCCCCACCCUCCUAAUGAGAAAAGUGAACCUCUAGCUCCUUUAUUCAGAGUUGUCUAGCAUGGGGCAGGUUAGUGAUGGAUAAAGGCUCAGGGCCUGGAGGCAGACAGAUGUGCAUUUUGAUUCUCUGGGCUGCAAGUGGUCAGAUGUAUGAAAUACAGAUUUUGAUCCUAAGGGUAAAGAAUGGGCACUGGAAUUGUCUAGCUUCAAAUGGUGGCUCUGCUAUUAAUUUUUCUAUACACCCAUGGAAAAGUAUUUAAUUUCUUUGUCUCAGCUUUCUCAUGUAUAAAACAGGUAUAAUAUUGUACUUAAUUGAUUUGAAGACAUAUUUCCCCCCUCACACUACUCUAUAUCUGUCUUACAAUUGCCAUUGGCCAGACAGACAUUCUUAGCACUUACUACUCUAAUCUAAAAGAACUCUCUCAAUAAAGAUAAAAUAAUACUUCUAAGUAACAAGGAAACACUGUUUCAUGUUUCAUUGGCAUGUUUUCUUUCUUAGUGGUACAUAAAAUAGUGAUGUAUCUUAUAAUUGAUAUCAUCUUAGAUUCAAUGACAUAUGGUAAUAGUACCUGCCUCAUUACAUCAUUAUAAACAUGAGAAGGGAUAAUUCAAAGAAACAAGUUACCAUACUGCUUGGCAGAGAAAGAAAAUUCAAUAAUGUUAAUUAUAAACUAGCUACUGUAUAAAGUCAGUAGCUACCUGGAGGGAAGCAGAGUUCUGAUGGCUAUCCCUAGCAAGAAAAGGUCUUGGGAAAUCAUAAACUUUACUUAAUUAUACCUCCAAAAGGCUCUUCCCUGUCCUGAAGCAACAAUGGUCAGAGCAGAGUUCUAUUAUAGAUGAAGAAAAGAGAACAAACACAAAACUCAAAUAUACUGCUAAUGGUCAAGAAAGAGCCCUCAGAGGAGACAGAAACCCCAGUGUAUCAUUUCAGAGCCUGUGAAGGGCUCCACAUCCCACUUAACCUUCAACCUUCAGUGAUGUUUGUAGCCACUACCAAUGUUCUAUUCAAUCCACUUUAUCCUUUCCCUUAGAAGCUGGUCCCUAAGCAAUUGGCUUUCCCAAGCUCAGAGUGACGGUAUUGAUUGCAGGCCCUGCUAAUCUAGUCCCUGACCCAACCUUCAAAGGGAUAGGGAGAAUAGAAAUGGCCUCAUUUACUAUCUAGUUAAGUACCAAGAUCAGCCAGAACAAUAUGCAGAACCUUGCUGGCAUGCCUGGAACAUAGGAUUGAUCUCUUAGUUUCAAUUAUUGCCCAAACUGCCUUGGGAACAUGGUCUGUGAACACUAGUUGUUCUCCCUAGGGCUUGCCUUUGGAGUUGCUUUAGUUUUCUCAAUUUUGUACCUGCCUAGAGAGAUUUCUAUUUAAUAUUGGCUCUUUUCUUCUUGCCAUAGGUCCUGUGGAUAUUGAGGUAUCAAAUGACUCAAAUUAUAGUGCCAAUAAUGUUUGCCACAUUAAAAAUGAGAAUACUGAGAAAAUAUAUGAUUGUGUUCUUAUGUAGUGUAGCGGAUGACCUAUCAUUGAGGUAUCUAAAUUUUUGCUCCUAAACUAAUUAGCUCUUACUAUCUAGGCUUAAUUAGGUCUAGCUUUUUAACUGUGUUACUUUUAAAAAGUUUUCCUCUUAAUCUUUGUGCUAACACUGGACAGCCUCAUCCAAUCUCUAAGCCUCAACUACUCUGUAUUCUGAUGAUUCACUGAACUACAGUCCUAAUCCUAGAUAAGACUAUUUAUAACCUAUAUGAUAUAUCUUUGGUGGGUUGUGUACUUGGAUUAUCCCUGGCACUGGAAAUGUUGCUGAAACACUGUGAAGGAAGAAGGAGAUGGAUGUGUUCUUGGUCUGUUCCACUGUUAUGCAGCCAGGCUUUGAAGAAAAAUUCCAUGCUGAUAACAUCGUUGUCUAUAAUCUGAAGUUCAAUGUCAGUUCCCAGGAUAGAACUCUCUGUAGAAGACAGGGAAAUAAAUAGUGGUUAAAGUGUUAAUUUUUAAAUUAUAAAAUCUGAAAAUAUAAAAUUCAAAUGUACCUAUCUUUUGACCCAUUCAUUGCAUUUCUAGAUAUCUAGCCUAAAGAAUUCUUAGACAGUACACAAAGAGAUAUAUGCGAAGAUGUUCAGGGUAUCAUUGUAGUCAUAACAAAUAAUCAAAACCCCAAACAGGAGGCAAUUCCAGUGUCCUUCAAUAAGGGAAAGCUUAAAUAAAUCAUGGUACACUUAAACUAUGGAAUAUUAUGCAGCUGUUAACAAUGUAAAACUAAAUGUACUGACAUGGAAAGCUAGUAAAUAAAUAAAAUGAAUAAAUGAA